rnacentral:rRNA from 1 species
UACGUAGGGGGCAAGCGUUGUCCGGAAUCAUUGGGCGUAAAGCGCGUGUAGGCGGCUCGAUAAGUCUGCUGUGAAAGUCCAGGGCUCAACCCUGGGAUGCCGGUGGAUACUGUCGAGCUCGAGUCCGGAAGAGGCGAGUGGAAUUCCUGGUGUAGCGGUGAAAUGCGCAGAUAUCAGGAGGAACACCCGUGGCGAAAGCGGCUCUCUGGGACGGUACUGACGCUGAGACGCGAAAGCGUGGGGAGCAAACAGG